UCCCUUCCUCUGCUGUCUCCAUGCUGACCGUGGCUUUAGAUUGUUACUGUAGCGUUGGCACGUGGUAACAGUCUACAGCCAUGGUCGCCAAGGGGCAGGUGUUACAGCGACUACUGGGA
ensembl:miRNA dre-mir-132-2 dre-mir-132-2